ACAAACAAACCAGACCAGUCGAAUCCGUGGCGAAGAAAUCGUCGUCAACUGCGGCGUCGUAGUCCGUAGUAAUGAAUCAUUUGAUCGCCGGUAUUCGUCGGGGAGUGAUCGUCGGCACUUGGAGAGUUAAGAGCGGAUGAACCGAAGAAACAUCGAACGCGACUCGCCCGGUGUUCAAAUGUAAUCACACUCGGCUGGUGGUGCUCCGCCAGCGUAUCAUGGAUUUGAAUAAACAAGAGUAGCGUACGUACGUGUGCGUGCAACGUAGUGCGUAUCGGUGAUGACGUCGCGUCGCGGUGUAGCUGAACGUACAAAGAUGUACGACGGUGAAUAAAAUAUUCGUGUAACGCGAAUUGAGAAAAGUGAGUGAACAUCGCACGGAGUAUACGAGGCGACAUCGCGAAUAUUCGCGAUUCAAGAGAGGAGUCGGGAAGUGCGUGAAGAAGGACGAAAAAAAAAAAAAAAAAACAAAGAAGCCGCGGGGCGCGUUGAAGUGCGUAUGAAAUCCCCGUGGAAAAUAUAAUACUUUUCUUCCCGUAUUCUCCUCCUUCUUUUUUUUUCGGAGUGAAGGAGACAUUAAUUGAGGCCGUUGAGUCGCUGCUGCCUGCAGAGACGUCAGUCAAGGAACGAGAAUUCCGCGUCGGGACGGAGGGCGAAAUGUGCUCGUCAAAGCGACGUUCCGGGGAAGGGUUUUUGGAGAAAGCGUCGCGGGGUGUCGGGCGACGCGGGAUUCGUUUGGCGAAGGUAUCCGGAAGGCGCAUAUUAAUACGCGCGACAUUGUCGCAGAACUUGAAAUCGCGUCCCGACCACGGAUAUCAAGAGCUGAGCCCGAGGAAAAUUCAACUGAAUUGGUGACGAGUGCAGAUUCGCAAUCGGUAGCCUGACUGCACUGCGGGAUGUUCGAACGUGCUUCUGACGUGGGUGCCUACUCAGGGGUACCCGCUUCUUUCUUAGGGGGGUUGUAAGUAAGCUGGGAAGUAACAAAGUAACGAAGUAUCAUAGCCGGCCGACUUCACGAAUUUUCAUGUCGCCGAAUCUCUUCUCCGUUCGCGAGGAAUUUGUGCGGGUGUUAUUACAGAUAACUUUAUUCCCUCUUAAAUUAUUCCCUUCUCCGGUGGGAGGGUGUGAGCGGCAGAGGCGAGGGCUCCUUCCUCCGUCCUCUUUUUUUAACCACUUCACUUUGCCGAGGAACCAACGAACGCCGACUACCCGGCGGCUCACGCGGUGAUACACCUUGUAUUUUUCGUCCGUUUUCAGACGCGCGCACUUAUCUCGCGUAUUAUGCGUGCCCGUGCUUUAUUCGCGCGCGUGUACAACGCGAAACGUAGAAAUUUAUGAAAGCCCUCGAGUGUAGGAACAUUGCACCGCUGAUCGUUACCCGCUUCGUCGUACGCAUCUUCAUUUCUGCCGUUUGAAGAGCCCGAGGAAAAGAACGGCGUCAGUCGCUAACCGAACCGCAACCCACCCGCUUUCCAGGUAUAUGAAUAACAGUCGAGGACGAGAGAUCUGCGGGGAGUCGAGAGAGGGUGGGUGAUAUGUGAAGAGAAACGAGACGUCAUGUCAACGACCCGGCAAACGGGAUAACGUACCGGGUUUGGUAGAGGGUAAGAUCGUCGCGUGUACCGCAUACCGGGGACGAAAGCUCGUAUUCGUCUUCGUUCCAUUUUUACUUUUUUUUCUCCCCUCUUAUUUCCGACCGCCCUUCGUUCUCCCCGUUUCGGCAUCCCCGUAAUCUCAUGU